UCUGAACUCAACCUCAGGGCGUUCAACAGAGAGCCUUUGGAUUACUGUCUUGUGGUUGACCAUAUUAGGACUAAUACUUCAUCUCAAAGAAUCACGGGGACACCUGCGGCCGUUGAAGAUUUUCUUUGGGGGGAACUACACGCCCCCAGAAAAAUAGAUAGCUUCGAAUAAUAACUGAAAGAACUUUUGCAACUGAAAGUGCACGGCCAACACGAGCAGACAUGUCUUGCCUUGUGAUGUUCCGCUUCCUUGCUGUGGGAGACACACUCUGCAGGGGACCUUAAGCUAUUUUCAUUUCAACUGUGUUUAUAAGGAUAAACAUCGAAGGAAAACCUUUAAAGAGAAGAUUGAUAAUAAUAAACCUCAGUCCACUUUUGAUCUUCAUUUCU